rnacentral:rRNA from 1 species
UACGUAGGGGGCUAGCGUUGUCCGGAAUCAUUGGGCGUAAAGAGCGUGUAGGCGGUCCGGUAAGUCCGCUGUGAAAGUCGGGGGCUCAACCCUCGAAUGCCGGUGGAUACUGUCGGGCUAGAGUACGGAAGAGGCGAGUGGAAUUCCUGGUGUAGCGGUGGAAUGCGCAGAUAUCGGGAGGAACACCAGUGGCGAAGGCGACUACCUGGCCUGUUCUUGACGCUGAGGCGCGAAAGCUAGGGGAGCAAACGGG